rfam:Erinaceus europaeus unplaced genomic scaffold scaffold00740, whole genome shotgun sequence
CCAAAGGCUCUUUUCAGAGCCACCCCACUAAUCUCAAAGGGGAGCU